CUACGUGCCAGCAGCCGCGGUAAUACGUAGGGUGCGAGCGUUAAUCGGAAUUACUGGGCGUAAAGCGCACGCAGGCGGUCUGUCAAGUCGGAUGUGAAAUCCCCGGGCUCAACCUGGGAACUGCAUUCGAAACUGGCAAGCUUGAGUCUUGUAGAGGGGGGUAGAAUUCCAGGUGUAGCGGUGAAAUGCGUAGAGAUCUGGAGGAAUACCGGUGGCGAAGGCGGCCCCCUGGACAAAGACUGACGCUCAGGUGCGAAAGCGUGGGGAGCAAACAGGAUUAGAUACCCUGGUAGUCCACGCCGUAAACGAUGUCGACUUGGAGGUUGUGCCCUUGAGGCGUGGCUUCCGGAGCUAACGCGUUAAGUCGACCGCCUGGGGAGUACGGCCGCAAGGUUAAAACUCAAAUGAAUUGACGGGGGCCCGCACAAGCGGUGGAGCAUGUGGUUUAAUUCGAUGCAACGCGAAGAACCUUACC
rnacentral:rRNA from 1 species